AGGAAACUAAAUCAUUUUUCCACCUUAGUACGGGAGACGGAAAAGGUAAUUUUAAGCAAUAGAGAAAGUACCGCAAGGGAAAGCUGAAAGAGUAAUGAAAUAAUUCAUAUAAGCACAAAAAAGCAGAGCCUAACCCUCGUACCUUUUGCAUCAUGAUUUAGCCAGCACCACACAAGCGAAGUGACCUUUAGUUUGAAAUCCCGAAACCAAGUGAGCUACCCCGGGACAGCCUGUUUGGGCGAACCCGUCUCUGUGGCAAAAGAGUGGGAAGAGCCCCGGGUAGAGGUGAUAAACCUACCGAACUUGGUGAUAGCUGGUUGCCUAAGAAAUGAAUAGAAGUUCAGCCUCGUACCCCUUUAGCCAACCAGGAAAUAUCUAAGUAAGCAUAGAAGAGAAAUACGAGAGUUAGUUAAAGGGGGUACAGCCCCUUUAAUAAAGGACACAACCUUAAAUAGGAGGAUAAGAGUCACAUUUUAUAAAACUAGUCGUUCCAGUGGGCCUAAAAGCAGCCACCUGAAUAGAAAGCGUUAAAGCUCAAACGACAUGCAGUUUAUUAUACUGAUAAGUAGCCCAAUUCCCCUAAAAAUAUUAGGCCGUUCCAUGCUACCAUGGAAGAGACCAUGCUAGAAUGAGUAAUAAGAGGGUACAACCCUCUCCUAGCACAAGUGUAAGCCAGAUCGGACAAGCCACUGGAAGUUAACGAACCCAUAAAAAGAGGGCAAUGUGUUUACUAAAGAAUUCAAGAAAAUAACACAACAUUUACAUCGUUAAACCCACACUGGAGUGCAUCAAGGAAAGACUAAAAGAAAGGGAAGGAACUCGGCAAACACAAGCCUCGCCUGUUUACCAAAAACAUCGCCUCCUGCAAACCCCUACGUAUAGGAGGUCCAGCCUGCCCGGUGACUACAAGUUUAACGGCCGCGGUAUUUUGACCGUGCAAAGGUAGCGCAAUCACUUGUCUUUUAAAUGAAGACCUGUAUGAAUGGCUAAACGAGGGCUUAACUGUCUCCCUUUUCAGG
rnacentral:rRNA from 1 species